AUUGAACGCUGGCGGCAGGCCUAACACAUGCAAGUCGAGCGGAUGAAGGGAGCUUGCUCCUGGAUUCAGCGGCGGACGGGUGAGUAAUGCCUAGGAAUCUGCCUGGUAGUGGGGGAUAACGUCCGGAAACGGGCGCUAAUACCGCAUACGUCCUGAGGGAGAAAGUGGGGGAUCUUCGGACCUCACGCUAUCAGAUGAGCCUAGGUCGGAUUAGCUAGUUGGUGGGGUAAAGGCCUACCAAGGCGACGAUCCGUAACUGGUCUGAGAGGAUGAUCAGUCACGCUGGAACUUAGACACGGUCCAGACUCCUACGGGAGGCAGCAGUGGGGAAUAUUGGACAAUGGGCGAAAGCCUGAUCCAGCCAUGCCGCGUGUGUGAAGAAGGUCUUCGGAUUGUAAAGCACUUUAAGUUGGGAGGAAGGGCAGUAAGUUAAUACCUUGCUGUUUUGACGUUACCAACAGAAUAAGCACCGGCUAACUUCGUG
rnacentral:rRNA from 1 species